UGGGGAAUAUUGGACAAUGGACCAAGAGUCUGAUCCAGCAAUUCUGUGUGCACGAUGAAGUUUUUCGGAAUGUAAAGUGCUUUCAGUUGGGAAGAAAGAAAUGACGGUACCAACAGAAGAAGUGACGGCUAAAUACGUGCCAGCAGCUGCGGUAAUACGUAUGUCACGAGCGUUAUCCGGAUUUAUUGGGCGUAAAGCGCGUCUAGGUGGUUAUGUAAGUCUGAUGUGAAAAUGCAGGGCUCAACUCUGUAUUGCGUUGGAAACUGUAUAACUAGAGUACUGGAGAGGUAAGCGGAACUACAAGUGUAGAGGUGAAAUUCGUAGAUAUUUGUAGGAAUGCCGAUGGGGAAGCCAGCUUACUGGACAGAUACUGACGCUGAAGCGCGAAAGCGUGGGUAGCAAACAGG
rnacentral:rRNA from 1 species